AAGGUGGCACUUGGUAUAUGAUUCACAGUAAGCUUUAUGUUGUAAUGCAGCCCCAUUACAAAUAUUUUCCAUCUGGGAACACGACAUAAAUAACAAGACACUUUCACAGAACCAAUACUGUCGAUAUCUUUACAAGUGAAACCUUCCCCUCCCAACUAAUUACAUCGAAGUCAAAAGUUGGGAGGGAAUUUGUAUAUGUGGCUGACUGAGAUUUUGCUUUAUUAGAAUUAUAUAGAAAUACUAAGCUAUUGUUAUGGCAUAUUGACGUAGACUUUCCUAAAACGACACAAAUCAGUUGGUCUAUCACUAUUUCUAUCAUGGAGAUUAUUACUUAAUGCGCUAGAAACUUCUUGACAAGAUCAAACCAUGCAUCCUUGUGCUCCUCUUUCCCACUCUCUUUUAGAAAAACAGAAUUAGCUUUGGCACUUCUAUAGUUUUCAAGAAUCAGUAACUAGGAGAUUUGGAAUAUUGAGUUGUGUGGCUUGUACAAUAGAUAGGAUCAUCCUACCAAUAAAGUGAAAUAAUAUGCAUUUGGCGCCCAUCAACAAGAAAUAUGCCAAUCAAUUUUUCAAAAGAAAGGUAGUGGCGAAACAGAUUAGAUGACGUUGUGAC
rnacentral:lncRNA from 1 species